rnacentral:rRNA from 1 species
CUUGAACGCUGGCGGCAGGCCUAACACAUGCAAGUCGAGCGAGCGGCGGACGGGUGAGUAAUGUCUGGGAAACUGCCUGAUGGAGGGGGAUAACUACUGGAAACGGUAGCUAAUACCGCAUACCAUCAGAUGUGCCCAGAUGGGAUGAGCGAGUAGGUGGGGAAACGGCUCACCUAGGCGACGAUCCCUCGCUGGUCUGAGAGGAUGACCAACCACACGGGAACUGAGACACGGUCCAGACGCAUACGGGAGGCAGCAGUGGGGAAUAUUGCACAAUGGUGGCAAGCCUGAUGCAGCCAGGCCGCGUGUGUGAAGAAGGCCUUCGGGUUGUAAAGCACUCUGGGCGGGGAAGCGUUACCCGCAUAGGAAGCACCGGCUAACUCCGUGCCAGGAGCCGCGGUAAUAC